CUUUCACUGAAAAUAGUUAAAACAGAUGAAACUGGAAGACGUUAUUCACAUUAGCUCAUCUAAACGUUCAGCUUUUGUCUCGAUUAAGUUCAGGAACUUGCGGAACUUUGUUGGGGAAGAAUUUUCCGCUUGGUUUCAGUCACGGAAUCUGAUUACAUAGCCACAUCAACUAUCAAUUUAGCGAAAUCCUGAUACAACUGGGUAUUUUGGGCCGACGUAGAGACUCGAGUAGCGAUUUAUAUCUGCAAUAUAAGCACUAGGUGUAUAGGUAUCGGAUAAUAGCUAUUGUGGGAAACGCCAAGGACAUUUCGGAGCUGCCACUCGCCGAUCGAAGCGCGGAACAUACAGCGUGUUAACUCAGGCGUAAAAGUAAUUUAGAUGCUGCUCCAAGAAGCCGUGCACACGCGUACACAUUCGACUGCACGUGAUUGUGUACGUGCAGAUUUUUCGGCUCGGAUGAAAUUAUUUACGCGAUGCAGGUAUGUGUAGAGAAGAGGCUCGUUACGUAAUUUCACGAGCAAAUAACUAGACGGACGAGGUAUCGUUAGCCGUUUACUGGAAAUACAGUCGAUGUAAGUGAAACUUGAGAUAAUCCUGACAUUAUCAAGUGAUUUACGGCAGUCGAAGCAGCCAAACCUCCGCACAAGUUUCUCCACGUUGAAAUAUGCGGCAAUGCGUGUGUUCCAGUGUGUUUUUUUAAUUACGCGCAACACCGUCAGGGAGUGGGACGUAAUUGAUAUGCAAAAUACUCGCAAGAAUGUGCGGCUGACGCGUCACGAUGAUUUGCAGACUGCGUCAAAUCGAUCGGAAACACUCAGACCUCGCUGCACGUCAACACGUAAUAUGCAUCACUCGUGCUUGGAAGAGGCUCAACCCAAUAAGCGUCACAGUUGCUUCUAAGGGAAUGACAGAAAGGGACAGAAAGUACACACGAUUCGUAUGCAAGUCGCGUGACUCGAGAAAACAAGUUCUUCAGCUUGUCCGAGUCUCCGUCUUUCCCACUGCUGAUCCACUCAACGAAGGGAUAUCUCCGUCUGCUGCCAGGAUUACUAAUUCAUGGUCUUCCCGAAGCACCAUAGAUUUUUAAAAUUACAAGGAUAGCAAGUGGCAGCGAUCGGGUCAGGGCGUAACGAUCCUCCCAAAAAGGUGGAGAAACAUUGAACAGAAAUAGAAUAAUCGAUGGCUCCUGAGAAAUGGUGUUACCGCUGCGUCAAAUAUGGAAGUACACGAGGACACAUUUUGCAUGAAAUUUUCUGCAGACGCUCCACGGUUAAGGAGUUAUUUCGGUCAUUUGUUGAAUCCCUCUGUGCGUGCCGCCCGAUGCUCCCACUUUAAUUAAGUCUCCUGUGGUUCCUGCGGCUGGCCUGGCAUUGAGACGGGAAGAACAAGGCUACGAAUCUCUGCCCUCGCAUCUGUACUAAGAAUCAAGAUUCGAUCCGUUUUUCCUCACGACCAGCAUACCGCUCGGCAACCUCAGUCAAUCCGAAAUGUGUCACCUCAUUUCGCACGAGAACGUCAUAAUAUAUUAUAACAAAUGUUAUAAAAAUACACGGUCUCGCUGGGAAUAAAUUCUGUCAAUUACGAGUGAAAAUAAAUAAUCCCAACAUAUGAGUAACAUAGAAAACUUUUUACUUCGUACCGAAAAUAAAUACCAGGGCGUCCAGCAUUACUCGAAGUCUUGAGAGUUCCAGAAACAUGUACGGCAAAACUUCGUGUGAAAAUUUCAUGUUCUACUCAUGCCAUGAAAAGUUUUUAAAUGAUUUUGUAAUAAUUUUUCACCCUUUUACGUACCUACGCAUUAAAGGAAGCAAGUAUAACUUCUAAUUCCAAUUACUUAAAACUUGUGAAGAAGAAUGAUGUAGAAUAAAAAUCAUAUUUCGUUCAACAGUAUUACUUUAAUCAUCAAGUAUCUAUAACUCGGUACCGAAGUCAAGGAAGCUGUGCGAUAAAAAAGAUUAAAAAAACGUGUUUCUAUCAGUAUGGUAUAGUAAAAAUUAGUAUAGUAUAAAAAAAAAAGUAAUGUAGAGCCUGUGAAAUAAAUAUAUAAAAAAA